rnacentral:rRNA from 1 species
AACGAACGCUGGCGACAGGCUUAACACAUGCAAGUCGAACGCACCGCAAGGUGAGUGGCAGACGGGUGAGCAACACGUGGGGAUCUGCCCAAUGGUACGGAAUAGCUCCGGGAAACUGGAAUUAAUACCAUAUGAGCCCGCAAGGGGAAAGAUUUAUCGCCAUUGGAUGAACCCGCGUCGGAUUAGCUAGUUGGUGUGGUAAAGGCGCACCAAGGCGACGAUCCGUAGCUGGUCUGAGAGGAUGAUCAGCCACACUGGGACUGAGACACGGCCCAGACUCCUACGGGGGGCAGCAGUGGGGAAUAUUGGACAAUGGGCGCAAGCCUGAUCCAGCCAUGCCGCGUGAGUGAUGAAGGCCUUAGGGUUGUAAAGCUCUUUCGCCGACGAAGAUAAUGACGGUAGUCGGAGAAGAAGCCCCGGCUAACUUCGUGCCAGCCGCCGCAGUAAAAC